rnacentral:rRNA from 1 species
ACGGGAUCCUCUGUGCCGCCCGUGGCUGGCUCCUCACGCGCUGAAGCCGCAGAAGAUCCCGGCGCGGGAGCAGCCACUGGAACAGCACCAGGUGCAUCCUCCUCGGGAUCAGAUGUGGGAUCUCCUGCUCCAUGGGCUGGUGCAGUCUCGCCUGUGCAACCACGCACUCGUCUCCAAAAAGGGGUAAUUCAACAUGUUAAUUAUAAAACAAAGUUUGGCUUGGCUUGUUCCUCCACAGGUGAACCUAGUACGGUUGAAGAGGCACUGAAUGACCCACGUUGGAGGAAGGCAAUGGAAGAAGAGUAUUCGGCAUUGAAGAAAAAUAAAACGUGGCAUCUAGUACCUCCACGACGAGGUAAAAAUCCCAUUGAUUGCAAAUGGGUGUUUCGCAUUAAAAGAAAGUCUGACGGAUCUAUAGGUCGUUACAAAGCAAGACUCGUUGCAAAGGGCUUCAAACAACGGUAUGGCAUAGACUAUGAGGACACAUUUAGUCCUGUUGUUAAAGCUGCCACCAUUCGUCUUGUGUUGUCUGUUGUUGUUUCCAGGGGGUGGAGUCUCAGACAAUUAGAUGUGCAGAAUGCGUUCCUUCAUGGCAUUCUGGAAGAGGAAGUAUAUAUGAAGCAACCUCCUGGGUUUGUGAACAAAAACUCACCACUGCAUGUGUGCAAACUUGAUAAAGCUUUAUAUGGCUUGAAGCAAGCUCCCAGGGCGUGGUACUCACGUCUAAAUCAGAAACUGCCUCUUGAAGGAUCUAAGUGCUGA